GGGAACCUCCCAAACGCGAAGGAAGUUUUCCAUAGCAUUGUCUUUGAAGAUGAUGGUGUUUACUUCUCUUCCAAAGCAGUCCUCCACAGUCAUUUCUUCACAAUUUCCAUCACAAUAAAAAAGUAAAGAUGAAAAUUACCUGUGAUAUACGGGCAACAGUCAGAAAGGCACAACGAAUUCAGCCAAGCUUCCGCCUCCCCUUUAUUCAGAGAAGCUUCAUCCGGUCGAAAAUAAAAGAUUCCACAGGGGCUCGCGUGGUAACAAGUCGAAUGAAAUUGCGAGAAAAGAAAAAGAAGUGAAGAACAGGAAGUAAAGAAGAACAAGAGAGCGGUUCGUUUCACGAAAAAAGAAAGAAGUGAAGAAAAAAGAAGAAAGAGAAAGAAGUGAGAACUGUUUCAAGCUAAGAAUGGCGGGAAUUAAAAGAAAACUUAGGAGCGGUUUAUUUAUUUAUACCGCAGCAAAUGCAUUUAAAAAAAUAAAAAACGGAAUUAAAUGUUUGUACAAUAUACCAUACAAUAUUAAAAU
rnacentral:lncRNA from 1 species